AGUGAACGUUGGCGGCAUGGAUGAGGCAUGCAAGUCGAGCGGAGUAGCAAUACUCAGCGACGAAAGGGGCAGUAAGGCAUGGUUAACCUACCCCUUGAGUGGGGGAUAGCCUCGGGAAACCGGGAUUAAUACCGCAUAAGACCACAGGGACGCAUGUUCCAGAGGUCAAAGGGACUAGUGCUCGCUUGAGGAGGGGGCCAUGUGAUAUCAGCUAGUUGGUGAGGUAAUGGCUCACCAAGGCUACGACGUCUAGCAGGUUUGAGAGGAUGGCCUGCGCCACCGGGACUGAGACACUGCCCCGGACAUCUACGGAUGGCUGCAGUCGAGAAUAAUUGUCAAUGGGCGAAAGCCUGAACGUGCGAUGCCGCGUGUGGGAUGAAGGCGGACACCGUUGUAAACCACUGUCAGGGGCUAAGAAUAAACCGAGUGACCCUCGGCGAUGACGUUAACCCCAAAGGCAAGUCGCAGCUAACUACGUGCCAGCAGCUGCGGUAAUACGUAGGCGACGAACGUUACUCGGAAUCACUGGGCUUAAAGGGCGUGUAGGCGGCCUUACAAGUUAGAGUUGAAAAUCCGGCGGCUCAACCGUCGAACUGGCUCUAAUACUGUCGGGCUCGAAUACUGCAGGGAUGCUGGAACUCUUGGUGGAGCGGUGGAAUGCGCAGAUAUCAAGAGGAACACCGAUGGCGAAGGCAGGCAUCUGGGCAUGUAUUGACG
rnacentral:rRNA from 1 species